UGAAGAAAUGGGAAAUUAUGGUUUUAACCCAGGAACAAGACAAAAGUGAAAAUUUGUAACUUAGUGAAUUGUCCAGCACGGUCUACA